rnacentral:tRNA from 1 species
GGAGAGGUGCCGGAGUGGUUGAACGGGGCGGUCUCGAAAAUCGUUGUGGAGGCAACUUCACCGUGGGUUCGAAUCCUACCCUCUCCGCCA